rnacentral:rRNA from 1 species
AUGAACGCUGGCGGCGUGCCUAAUACAUGCAAGUCGAGCGAACAGACGAGGAGCUUGCUUCUCUGACGUUAGCGGCGGACGGGUGAGUAACACGUGGAUAACCUACCUAUAAGACUGGGAUAACUUCGGGAAACCGGAGCUAAUACCGGAUAAUAUAUUGAACCGCAUGGUUCAAUAGUGAAAGACGGUUUUGCUGUCACUUAUAGAUGGAUCCGCGCCGCAUUAGCUAGUUGGUAAGGUAACGGCUUACCAAGGCAACGAUGCGUAGCCGACCUGAGAGGGUGAUCGGCCACACUGGAACUGAGACACGGUCCAGACUCCUACGGGAGGCAGCAGUAGGGAAUCUUCCGCAAAGGGCGAAAGCCUGACGGAGCAACGCCGCGUGAGUGAUGAAGGUCUUCGGAUCGUAAAACUCUGUUAUUAGGGAAGAACAAAUGUGUAAGUAACUAUGCACGUCUUGACGGUACCUAAUCAGAAAGCCACGGCUAACUACGUG